ACUUAACAGCCUUGAACUUUAAUCUACACAAGAAUCUAUCUUCAAACGAAAUUAACGAAACAGAAUUUACAACAAAAGUAAAAUACAAUCCACCAAACGUGAGAACAUGUAAUGACUAUUGCAAGCAUCCACAACCUCGUUUUCAUCUGCACAGUGAAUAUAUAAAGGUUCCUUUAAAUUAUCUCUUUAUACCAUUCACUCAAUGCUUGCCUGGUUGCAAAGCAACAAAAAACACAACGAACAUCAAAACACAAACC